AGAUAUUCUAAUGAAAUGUUCAGUGACAGGAGUUAGAAGACAGAUGUUACUAUUAGAGGAUAUUCCAGGACCUACAGAAACAAUUUUACCUUACUCCAAGAGACGAGAAACAGCUCUUUGACAGAAAGGAAAGCUUCACUUUGAUACCUCAUCGUGAUUGAGGUUUAAAGAAGCAUAUGACGAAGGAUUGGACUGCUUAUCUGGUACUGUGAACUUGAC